AGUGAACGCUGGCGGUAGGCCUAACACAUGCAAGUCGAACGGCAGCACAGUAAGAGCUUGCUCUUACGGGUGGCGAGUGGCGGACGGGUGAGGAAUACAUCGGAAUCUACUUUUUCGUGGGGGAUAACGUAGGGAAACUUACGCUAAUACCGCAUACGACCUACGGGUGAAAGCAGGGGAUCUUCGGACCUUGCGCGAUUGAAUGAGCCGAUGUCGGAUUAGCUAGUUGGCGGGGUAAAGGCCCACCAAGGCGACGAUCCGUAGCUGGUCUGAGAGGAUGGUCAGCCACACUAGAACUGAGACACGGUCCAGACUCCUACGGGAGGCAGCAGUGGGGAAUAUUGGACAAUGGGCGCGAGCCUGAUCCAGCCAUACCGCGUGGGUUGAGAAGGCCUUCGGGUUGUAAAGCCCUUUUGUUGGGAAAGAAAAGCAGCAGGUUAAUACCCCGCUGUUCUGACGGUACCCAAAGAAUAAGCACCGGCUAACUUCGUG
rnacentral:rRNA from 1 species